AAUAAAAUUUUCAUUUAAAACAAAACAUCAUUAUUCGACAAAAGAGUUUAUUCCAAGUUUAGUGCAAAAGUAUAAAUAAUAAAUCCCCAAGAUCUUCAACAAUGGCAGUGUGUACGUGUCACGCCGGCGCCUUCCCACGGUCAUCACUAGUACCUGAAAAACAUAAACACAACUAGUAAGCAUAAAUGCUUAGUGAGUUCCCCAGUAUACGACUUACCCACAUACGCCUUCCGGCCCGGACCUUUCGGUCCACAUAACAUUGCCUUCCGGCCCGUAACAUAAUCGCCUUCCGGCCCAUAAUAUAUAUCGCCUUCCGGCCCGUAUUAGAUUGCCUUCCGGCCCAUAGUAUUUUGCCUUCCGGCCCACGAUAGUAUAAAAACAUAGCACACGUAACAUAAUACACACAACACAUAAAUCAUACAUCAUACCGUCCUUUCUAUCACAUAGAGUCUCGCCUUCCGGCCCGUAUAAGCAUACAUCACAUAUGAGCACACAUCACAUAUAAAGCAUCUACCCCUCUAGACAUAGCAUGAAUAUAACACAUACGACCUUCCGGUCCCACAGUCAAACCCAUCCGGGUGAAGUAUAGUGAGAAGACUCACCUCGUAGUACGCAGGCUAUAACCUCUUCGAGCUACUCGCACACAAUCCGCUAGUCCGCAGGUUCCCUAUAAUACCACAGCCUUAGUUAAUGAUCUUAUCAAACAAGACAACUGACCCCUCUAAGAUAUAUACAGGUCAACGGUCAAUCUUGACCGGACUCGUCGAGUGCAAAGGGUAACUCGACGAGUAUAGACAUCCUGACACCACUCGCCGAGUCUGAAGAACGACUCGACGAGUUCCAGUAGAUCUUCAAGCUACUCGCCGAGUCUGAAGAACAACUCGACGAGUCCUAGUGAACCUUCAAGCUACUCGCCGAGUCUGAAGAACAACUCGGCGAGUUCUAGUGAAUCUUCAAGCUACUCGCCGAGUCUGAUCAUUGGACUCGGCGAGUCCUCGCCAUGCAGUCAAUCCGCUGCCUCCUGUAUUUCGCAUGAUUUCGAAGUAUAUAGAUAUAGGGCUUCCUGGACUUUCACAUAUACUAUUACGGGGUUUUUUAACACUUAUAACAACAAUAUAAUCUAACUAACCCUUAAUUGGGUUUCCUAAACCCUAAACUCGCAUACAACGUAAAAGUUACAGAUUUCGAUCCGAAGAUUACCUGGAAACGUGUUCCCUGUGUCUCCAAACCUCCAGUACUCGAUUCCUUUGAUCACCACCUUGCUCCUCCUUGUCUAACAAUCUCUUCAAGCCUUCUCAAGUCCUCUCUCUUGCUUCAGAUGCUCACACACUCCCAGGGGAUCUUCAACCGGCCAAAAGACGCGACAUGACGGCCAUAAGAUCGUUAUAUACGAUCAGAAAUGAAACGGCUAGGGUUCAGCUGAACGGCGUCGACUCGCCGAGUCCCUUAUUGGACUCGUCGAGUCCAGUCGCGCGUCUGCGACCAAGACCAUGGCCCUACUCGGCGAGUCGUGCACCAACUCGCCGAGUCCCCUCCUAAAUGUGCCCCAAAAAUAAUUUAAAGAAAUACCUGAAAUUCCGGGCUGUUACAACUCUCCCCCACUAGAACUAGACUUCGCCCUCGAAGUCUCUCAUUCUGCGAAUAACUCCGGAUGUUGCUCCCGCAUUUCUCUUUCCGGCUCCCAAGUCAUCUCCGAUCCCUUCCGAUGUUGCCACUGAACCAACACCAGAGGUAUUUCCUUGUUCCGUAGAACCUUGAUCUUCCGAUCCCUGAUAGCUACUGGUCUCUCGGCGUAAUUCAGACUCGCAUCUACCUGGAUAUCUUCUAACGGAACCACUGCUGCCUCAUCGGCUAUACACUUCCUCAGCUGUGAUACGUGGAAGGUAUUGUGAAUCUGAUUCAGCUCCGCUGGCAACUCCAACCGAUAAGCUACCCGACCUACCCUUGCAAUUACCCGAAAUGGACCUAUGAACCGGGGCCCCAAUUUGCCCCUCUUCCUGAACCGAAUCACCCCUUUCCAAGGAGAAACCUUUAGGAGAACGAAGUCGCCGACCUGGAAUUCGAGCUCGGACCGGCGUCUGUCCGCAUAACUCUUCUGUCGGCUCUGGGCGGUCAAUAACCUCUGCCUCACCCGUUGGAUCUGUUCAGUCGUUUGAAGUACGAUCUCUGUACUGCCCAUCACUCUCUGUCCCACUUCUCCCCAGCAAAUGGGAGUCCGACACCUCCUACCAUACAACAACUCAAAAGGUGGCAUACCAAUGCUCGAAUGAUGGCUGUUGUUGUAGGAAAACUCAGCCAGCGGCAGAUGCGCAUCCCAGCUACCCCCGAAGUCUAACACACACGCUCUAAGCAUAUCUUCCAAUGUCUGGAUCGUCCGCUCGCUUUGACCGUCGGUCUGGGGAUGGUAUGCGGUACUAAAAUGCAGUUUAGUACCCAACUCCUCAUGGAAUUUCUUCCAGAACCUGGAAGUGAAACGUACAUCGCGGUCCGAAACAAUCGAGGUCGGCACUCCAUGCCGAGAUACUAUCUCUCUCACGUACAACUCCGCCAACUUCUCUGCUGAUGAACUUUCACUAAUGGCAAGGAAAUGUGCACUCUUUGUUAGUCUAUCCACAAUCACCCAAAUCGCAUCGACUCCCCUGGCAGUUUUCGGCAAUUUGGUGAUGAAAUCCAUCGUGAUCUGAUCCCACUUCCACUCAGGGAUCUCCAAGGGUUGCAACUUACCGUGCGGUCUCUGGUGCUCGGCCUUAACUUUACGGCAGGUCAAACACCUCUCCACGAACCACGCAACGUCUCUCUUCAUGCAAGGCCACCAGUACUCCUUUUUCAAAUCCAGAUACAUUUUCGUAGCACCGGGAUGGAUCGAGAAUUUCGAUCUAUGUGCCUCCUCCAUCAAAAUGACACGCGUACCGCCCACGAAUGGCACCCAGAUCCGACCCUGAAAUGUCAGAAGUCCCCGCCCAUCCGUAACGAACUCUGAAAUUAACCCGACGACCCGCUCCUGUUUCUGCAUCCCAGACUUCACAACCUCGGCCUGUGCCCCACGAAUAGUAUCUAAUACCGGAGUCACCACCGUCAAUCUCAAACAUACGUCCCGCAAUGGAGUACCCUCCGCCCUACGACUCAAUGCAUCGGCUACCACAUUAGCCUUGCCUGGGUGGUAUAGGAUCUCACAGUCAUAAUCCUUAACCACGUCUAACCAUCUCCUCUGGCGCAUGUUUAGGUUGGGUUGAUCCAUCAAAUACUUCAAACUCUUAUGGUCCGUGUAUAUGGUACAACGAACCCCGUACAGGUAGUGACGCCAAAUUUUGAGGGCGAACACUACUGCCCCCAACUCUAAGUCAUGCGUGGGAUAUCUCGCUUCGUGAGGCUUCAGCUGCCUCGAUGCAUAGGCUAUCACAUGGCCCCUCUGCAUCAACACUGCACCCAGUCCUGAAAUCGAUGCGUCGCAAUAUACGACGAAGUCCUCCAUCCCUUCAGGAAGGGCUAAUACUGGUGCUUCGCACAGUCUCUGACGAAGUGUCUCGAAGGAAGUCUGCUGCUCGGGUCCCCAUGAGAAUGUAACACCCUUUCGGGUCAAUUUGGUAAGUGGCACUGCGAUCUUGGAGAAGUCCCUAAUGAACCUUCGAUAGUACCCUGCCAACCCAAGGAAACUCCUGAUCUCCGAAGGUGACUUUGGUGCCUCCCAUCUCAUCACCGCCUCCACCUUGGCCGGAUCGACCAAUAUCCCUGCCUGAUUUACAACGUGCCCCAGAAAUUGAACCUCCCGUAACCAGAAGUCACAUUUGGAGAAUUUUGCAUAUAGCUUCUCCGACCUCAGUACCUCAAGGACCUCCCUCAAAUGUCCCUCAUGCUGCUCCCUAGACCGCGAAUACACCAGAAUGUCGUCGAUGAAUACAAUCACAGACCGAUCCAGCAUCGGCCUGCAUACCCUGUUCAUGAGAUCCAUGAACACUGCUGGGGCAUUGGUGAGCCCAAAAGGCAUCACCACGAACUCGUAAUGCCCAUACCGCGUCCUAAAGGCUGUCUUCUGGACGUCCUCAUCCCGCACCCUUACCUGAUGGUACCCUGAUCUCAAAUCAAUCUUGGAAAACCAAGAUGCCCCUUGCAACUGAUCGAAUAGAUCAUCGAUUCUUGGUAACGGAUAGCGGUUCUUAACUGUCACCUUGUUCAGUUCCCGGUAAUCGAUACACAUCCGGUGUGAACCAUCCUUCUUCUUGACGAACAGAAUCGGUGCUCCCCACGGCGAGCUACUCGGCCGAAUAAAUCCCUUCCCCAACAACUCUUGAAGUUGCGAGGACAAUUCUUGCAUCUCUGGAGGUGCAAGACGAUAAGGCACCUUCGCAAUAGGCGCCGCCCCUGGAACUAGGUCGAUACCAAACUCCACUUGCCUCGCAGGAGGUAUUCCCGGCAAAUCCUCGGGGAAAACAUCUGGAAACUCGCGCACCACUGGAACCUCCUUCAAUGUCUUCGGUCUCUCGGAACUCUCCCGCGUAUCCAUCACAUACGCCACAAAACCGUUACAUCCCCGCUGUAGGCAUUGCCUCGCCCUAGCAGCCGAACAAAAAGCUGAUCUCGAACGGGUACCCUCGCCGUACACCGUAAGAACUCCCCCACUAGGGUCUCGUAUAGUCACCAACUGACGCUCGCAGUCGAUGACAGCGCUGAAUCGGCUCAACCAGUCCAUGCCUACAAUGACACAGACAUCACCCAUCGCAAUAGGAAUUAGGUCAAUCGGAAAUGCGACCCCGAAGAUCUCUAGCACACAUCCCCGAAAAACCUCCGUAGCACAAAUCACCCUCUCAGCCGCAAUGGAAACGCUCAAAGGCCGACUUAACGGCUCACGACUAAUGCCGAUGUGCUGACUAAAAGCUAACGAUACAAACGAUCUACUCGCACCCGAAUCAAAUAAUACUAGAGCAGGCAUAGAGUUCACAAGGAAAGUACCUACACAUAUAUUAACAUAAGCAUAACAUUUCGACCUUUAAUUAAAUACAUGAAAGAUAACAUACCUGCCACAACAUCGGGCGCAGCGCGGACCUCCUCCGCAGUCAGCUGAAAGGCUCUCCCGCGAGCCCUCGGGGCCUCGACCUUCACCGGUCGGGUCUCAGUAGUCCGGGUAGUAGGUGUAGCUCCCUGACGAAGUUGCGGGCACUCGGCCUUCCGAUGGCCUGUCUGGUUGCAGUGAAAGCAAACCAUAAACCCCUUAGGGCAAUCCCUGGCAAUAUGUCCCUCUUUGCCACACUUGUAGCAACCACCAGCUCGACACGCCCCCUCGUGACUCUUGCCGCACUUCGCGCAAGUGCGACCCUUCGAACCUCCCAUCCUCGAAUCAGCGAACUUAGUCCGCUUGGCUGCCGGCUGAGACUGGGCCGGCCGUCGAUCCACCUGCCGAGACUCAGCCUCCUCCCUCGCUUGAGUCUCCAACUCAAUCUCGCGCUUCCUGGCGUUCGCCUGAAGCUCAGUGAAAGUACGAUAGGUGGAGUUUGACACAAACUCCCGAAUCUCCCUCUUCAAAACACCCAAAUAGCGGCUCAUCCGCGACUGCUCCGUAGAUACCAGCUCGGGGCAGAACAUUGCCCUCUCAUGAAACUUCCGUGUGAUCACUGCCACGGAAUCAGUACCCUGCUUAAGGGUCAAGAACUCCUGAAUCAAUCGCUCCCUCUCUACCGGGGGAACGUACUCAUCCCUGAACAUCUCUGUAAACCUCUCCCAUGUCACCGCCGUAAUCUCUGCCUGAGUGAAGUUCGCCGUCACGAACUUCCACCAAUCCUUCGCUCCCAGACGGAGCUGGUUCAAGGCGAACCGUACCCUCAAGUGCUCCGGGCAUGAGCAAGUAUAGAAGCACCCCUCGAUGUCGGCGAUCCACCUCAUAGCUGCAAUCGGAUCCUGCGUCCCAUCAAAUUCAGGGGGUUUCGUGUUGCUGAAUUCCCUGAAUGGUAAUGAAUCACCCCCUUGCGGCCUGGCAGCAGCCACCGCUGCGGUAGCGGCAGCAACUGCAGCUUCAGAAAUUGCGGCGCACCGCUCCUCAAACUCCUCCAUCAACGUGGUCUUAAUAGACCCAAACAUCUCCGGGAUCUCAGCCCGGACCGCCGCAGCUACCUCUUCCUGAAUAAUCUGACGAAUCUCCUCGUCACUCGCACCGCUCGAACUCGCCCCAUUGCGUGUGAUAACCAUGAUGUCUCUGAAAUACAACAUAAAAUCAUCAGAGACUCCACCAAGUACAAUUGUACUCAAUACGCGCCCUACCCAGUCUCCGAUUUCCAGGGAUUCUUAUUUGAGUCUUCCACUGAUCCGGUGCCUUCGGUAGUACGGGCCCAAUACUACCGACCACACCGUAUCAGUAUUCGUCCCAAAUCUUCCUCCCCAAAUCCCGAAUAACGGGUACUCUACUUCUAGUAUGUACUAUUUACUUGCACGCUACCAAAUAUCUCAUAUAAGCAAUCUCCCUAGACUAAGGCAUCACAAAACAGGCAAUUCUAUUCCUAUCAUGUAUACCUAGUCUUCUAGCAUGCAUAACAAUUCAUAAUUCAGUGCAUAACAUAACAUCGUAAGGUAUUCUGGGGAUCUUUACCGUUCGGACGCUGGCUGCUCGUACACACUGUUCCACCCUUGUUUUUACCGCCUUGCCCUUUAUAAAAUGUUAUGUCCUUAUUAUUUUUAAGAAAAAGUUUUUCCUCAAAUCCCCGGUCUGAGUUCAGUUGCACCCAAAAGUACACCCGAAUCCCUCAAACCAAGGCUCUGAUACCAUUUGUAACAGCUCAAAUUUUCAAAUAAAUUUUUCGUUAAAAAUAAAACAUCAUUAUUCGACAAAAGGGUUUAUUCCAAGUUUAUUUCAAAAUAAAAAUAAUAAAUCUCCAGGAUCUCCAACAGUGGCAGUGUGUACGUGUCACGCCGGCGCCUUCCCACGGUCAUCACUAGUACCUGAAAAACAUAAACACAACUAGUAAGCAUAAAUGCUUAGUGAGUUCCCCAGUAUACGACUUACCCACAUACGCCUUCCGGCCCGGACCUUUCGGUCCACAUAAUAUUGCCUUCCGGCCCGGACCUUUCGGUCCACAUAACAUUGCCUUCCGGCCCGGAUCUUUCGAUCCACAUAACAUUGCCUUCCGGCCCGGAUCUUUCGAUCCACAAGAUAAUUGCCUUCCGGCCCAUACACAUAUAUAACACAUAAUACAAAUACUCUAACACAUAAAGCACAUAUAUCAUACCGUUCUUUCUAACACAUAAAGUCUCGCCUUCCGGCCCGUAUAAUCAUACAUCACAUAUAAGCACACAUCACAUAUAAAGCAUCUACCUCUCUAGACAUAGCAUGAAUAUAACACACGCGACCUUCCGGUCUAACAGUCAAACCCUUCCGGGUGAAGUAUAGUGAGAAGACUCACCUCGUAGUACGCAGGCUAUAACCUCCUCGAGCUACUCGCACACAAUCCGCUAGUCCGCAGGUUCCCUAUAAUACCACAGCCCUAGUUAAUGAUCUUAUCAAACAAGACAACUGACCCCUCUAAGAUAUAUACAGGUCAACGGUCAAUCUUGACCGGACUCGUCGAGUACAAAGGGUAACUCGACGAGUAUAGACAUCCUGACACCACUCGCCGAGUCUGAAGAACGACUCGACGAGUUCCAAUAAGUCUUCAAGCUACUCGCCGAGUCUGAAGAACAACUCGGCGAGUCCUAGUGAAUCUUCAAGCUACUCGCCGAGUCUGAUCAUUGGACUCGGCGAGUUCUCGCCAUGCAGUCAAUCAACUGCCUCCUGUAAUUCGCAUGAUUCCGCAAUAUAUAGAUAUGGGACUUCCUGGACCUUUACACAUACUAUUACUGGGAUUUAAACACUUGUAACAACUCUAUAAUCUAUCAAAUCCUUAAAUGGGUUUCCUAAACCCUAGAUUCGUGUACAACACCAAAACUACAGAAAUGAUCCGAGGAUUACCUGGAAAACGUGAUCCCUGCGUCCCCAACCUUCAGAGCUCAACCCCUUGAUCCUCCUUUGAUCACCACCUUGCCUCUCCUUGCCUAACAACCUCUUUAAGCUUCCACUAGCCUUCACCCUUGCUCCAGAUGCCCACAGCCGUUUAGGUUAUCUUCAAUC
rnacentral:lncRNA from 1 species